UUUCAGUUGAGGCCACACCUCUCCUGGUUGAGGCCAUGUUCCUGCUCAGGAGUCUGGCGUACCGUCUCUUGUCAUGCAGCUGUUUCCUGUGCAGCUUUGGAAUAUAUAUUUACCCGUGACAUCAGCCGAACAUCUGAAGGAAGGUUGUGUGUGAAACACCAUCUAUGUGAAGAAUAACAAUGCAAGUUCCUCCAUUACUCCAUCAAUAUGCCUCAAUCCAGACAUGAAGGACCCUCUCCUGAGGUUUUGGCAGCCAAUGCAGAGGAAUUAUAAUUUUUACAGCCUUGAAAAAAAAUCUCUGUUUUGUAGCAGUGAACAAAGAGAACACUUCCACUCGGCUUAGCUCUUUUACUUCAACAAUGCAUAUAACUGCAGUCACAAUUCACAGAUGCAUCGAUUUUAAGGCCACCAGGGAACCAUGGGAUGAUCUAAUCUGACCAUGUGUAUAAUACAGGCAAUUGAAUUUUAUGAUGACUAAAGCAUGUCUUCCAGAAAGGUCCCAAUCUGAAGACUUCAACUGAUGGAGAAUCUACCACUUCUCUUGGCAGUUUGUUUCAAUGAUUUAUCAGUGAUACUGUUAACAGUGUGUGACUUAGUUCUAAUUUGAAUUUGUCUGCUUUUAACUUC